UGGUGGAGCGAUUUAUCUGGUUAAUUCCGAUAACGAACGAGACUCUAGCCUGCUAAAUAGACGGGCGAUCCCUUGUGGGUCGAUCCGAUUUGCUUCUUAGAGGGACAAGUGGCGUUCCUAGCCACGCGAAAUUGAGCAAUAACA
rnacentral:rRNA from 1 species